rnacentral:tRNA from 1 species
CCGCUUGUAGCUCAGCUGGAUAGAGCGGCCCCCUCCUAAGGGGCAGGUCAGUGGUUCGAAUCCACUCAAGCGGACCA